UACGUAGGGACCAAGCGUUGUUCGGAUUUACUGGGCGUAAAGGGCGCGUAGGCGGCGUGACAAGUCACUUGUGAAAUCUCUGGGCUUAACCCAGAACGGCCAAGUGAAACUGUUGUGCUAGAGUGCAGAAGGGGCAAUCGGAAUUCUCGGUGUAGCGGUGAAAUGCGUAGAUAUCGAGAGGAACACCAAUGGCGAAGGCAGCUCGCUGGGACGGUACUGACGCUGGAGACGCGAAAGCGUGGGGAGCAAACAGG
rnacentral:rRNA from 1 species